rnacentral:rRNA from 1 species
CUUAGUGGCGCACGGGUGCGUAACGCGUGGGAAUCUGCCCUUAGGUACGGAAUAACAGUGAGAAAUUACUGCUAAUACCGUAUGAUGUCGCGAGACCAAAGAUUUAUCGCCUAGGGAUGAGCCCGCGUUGGAUUAGCUAGUUGGUGGGGUAAAAGCCUACCAAGGCGACGAUCCAUAGCUGGUCUGAGAGGAUGAUCAGCCACACUGGGACUGAGACACGGCCCAGACUCCUACGGGAGGCAGCAGUGGGGAAUAUUGGACAAUGGGCGAAAGCCUGAUCCAGCAAUGCCGCGUGAGUGAAGAAGGCCUUAGGGUUGUAAAGCUCUUUUACCCGGGAAGAUAAUGACUGUACCGGGAGAAUAAGCCCCGGCUAACUCCGUGCCAGCAGCCGCGGUAAUACGGAGGGGGCUAGCGUUGUUCGGAAUUACUGGGCGUAAAGCGUUCGUAGGCGG